GGAUGAAGAACGUAGCGAAAUGCGAUAAGUAGUGUGAAUUGCAGAAUUCAGUGAAUCAUCGAAUCUUUGAACGCACAUUGCGGCCAUAGGUAUUCCUUUGGCCAUGCCUGUUCGAGCGUCAUUUACACCCUCAAGCCUAGCUUGGUGUUGGGCGCCUGUCCCGCCGUUUUCGCGCGCGGACUCGCCUCAAAGUCAUUGGCGGCGGUCGUGCCGGCCCCCUCGCGCAGCACAUUUGCGCUUCUCGGAGGCCCGGCGGAUCCGCGCUCCAGCAAGACCUUUCACGACUUGACCUCGGAUCAGGUAGGGAUACCCGCUGAACUUAAGCAUAUCAAUAAGCGGAGGA
rnacentral:misc_RNA from 1 species